rnacentral:misc_RNA from 1 species
GAAAUGCGAUAAGUAAUGUGAAUUGCAGAAUUCCGUGAAUCAUCGAAUCUUUGAACGCACAUUGCGCCCUCUGGCAUUCCGGGGGGCAUGCCUGUCCGAGCGUCAUUACGCACCCUCAAGCCCGGCUUGUGUGAUGGGCCCCGGCGUCUCGUUCGCGAGACGGGCCCGAAAGGCAGCGGCGGCGUCGACCCGAUGAGCCCGAGCGUAUGGGGACUUCUGUCACACGUUCGCGGUGCGGACCGGCGCCUGCUUGACUUUUCUGAUUAUCCAGGUUGACCUCGGAUCAGGUAGGGAUACCCGCUUAACUUAAGC